GACGAACGCUGGCGGCGUGCCUAAUACAUGCAAGUAGAACGCUGAAGAGAGGAGCUUACUCUUCUUGGAUGAGUUGCGAACGGGUGAGUAACGCGUAGGUAACCUACCUUGUAGCGGGGGAUAACUAUUGGAAACGAUAGCUAAUACCGCAUAACAAUGGAUGACACAUGUCAUUUAUUUGAAAGGGGCAAUUGCUCCACUACAAGAUGGACCUGCGUUGUAUUAGCUAGUAGGUGAGGUAAUGGCUCACCUAGGCGACGAUACAUAGCCGACCUGAGAGGGUGAUCGGCCAAACUGGGACUGAGACACGGCCCAGACGCCUACGGGGAGCAGCAGUAGGGAAUCUUCGGCAAUGGGGGCAACCCUGACCGAGCAACGCCGCGUGAGUGAAGAAGGUUUUCGGAUCGUAAAGCUCGGUUGUAAGUCAAGAACGGGUGUGAGAGUGGAAAGUUCACACUGUGACGGUAGCUUACCAGAAAGGGACGGCUAACUACGUG
rnacentral:rRNA from 1 species